rnacentral:rRNA from 1 species
GAUGAACGCUGGCGGCGUGCCUAAUACAUGCAAGUCGAGCGAACGGACGAGAAGCUUGCUUCUCUGAUGUUAGCGGCGGACGGGUGAGUAACACGUGGAUAACCUACCUAUAAGACUGGGAUAACUUCGGGAAACCGGAGCUAAUACCGGAUGAUAUUUUGAACCGCAUGGUUCAAAAGUGAAAGACGGUCUUGCUGUCACUUAUAGAUGGAUCCGCGCUGCAUUAGCUAGUUGGUAAGGUAACGGCUUACCAAGGAAACGAUGCAUAGCCGACCUGAGAGGGUGAUCGGCCACACUGGAACUGAGACACGGUCCAGACUCCUACGGGAGGCAGCAGUAGGGAAUCUUCCGCAAUGGGUGAAAGCCUGACGGAGCAACGCCGCGUGAGUGAUGAAGGUCUUCGGAUCGUAAAACUCUGUUAUUAGGGAAGAACAUAUGUGUAAGUAACUGUGCACAUCUUGACGGUACCUAAUCAGAAAGCCACGGCUAACUACGUG